CUUUCCUGCAGCAAUGUCUCCGGAUCGUGUAUCACCAAUUCACCAUGGCAACUACGAUCUAGGCCAUAGGAACGAAGUUCUGGAAGCGAUGUGGGGAACAUUCAAAAUUGCUACCUUCAUCUUCCAUACAUAUUGCUAAAACCGUAGAGGCGUUUGUCCCAGUGAUCGAGUUUGAAAGGAGAGGCGAUGGGGUCGUGCUGGCGCCACAGUACGAACUGUCAUCAGAAUGCCGAAAGUACUCUCCUCUUCACUCCACCCGUGGCAGAGCGAACUUGUCCUUUCGCAUCAGCACACGACAAAACCGUUGAAUCUUGUGACCGUGGUAUCUGAGCAGGAAAAUGGAGUGGUGCCGGUCUGUACCCUGUCAUCCCGGGGCGCCUGCAUGGCUUUGGCGUUUCGUUAGUCUUUUAGCCUGGCAAAGAUAUACAUGUACAGUACUGUGUACGCACACGAAACGAGCUACUGUUACAACUCGGUUCUGAUUGCGUGCUACUGUGUUCUAUAAUUAUACGGUGCUAUUCCGUGCCGAGUCCCAGUUUGCUGAUACCUCCAAGCUUGCAAGCCCUCAAGGUUCUCAAGUUCUUUGUAAAGUUCCCUGCCAAGAGCCAGCAGCGUGUGCCAUUAUGGAUCGCGAAGACGUCUCAGUUACCAAAACGUGGACGACGGUGAAGACCGACGACUUCGAGUACCAUGAGGAGACGACCAUUGUCAAAUCUGAAUAGGUCACGCCGAGAGGUAUUCACAAGGCUGACGCUGCCUAGCACUGGUAUCUACAGACUGGUAUGGAAGCGAUGCUUGCUUGCCAAACUGCCGAUACUCGCUCCAGGUAGCCGCCACCAGAGGUAGACAACACAGCAUUUCGUGGUGUGCUAUUGAAUUCUAGCUUUAGCGUUGUAUUGCAUGCACACAGAGUUCACGUGACAUUGGCACUCAUGCGAUUAUGAACAUCAUGCGAUCAUGUACUAGUAUUUGCCAUGGGCCGCAAGGCCCCUUACCUCUACACCGAGUUGACCAUGUCUCAUUACUGUACAAUUGCAAGUAAUAACGUCAUUGUUGCUUACAAUACCGAUCUUCUUAUCAGCUUUUAACUGAUAUUCUCAGUCUCUCAACUAA